rnacentral:rRNA from 1 species
UGGGGAAUCUUCCGCAAUGGACGAAAGUCUGACGGAGCAACGCCGCGUGAGUGAUGAAGGAUUUCGGUCUGUAAAGCUCUGUUGUUUAUGAUGAACGUGCAGUGUGUGAACAAUGCAUUGCAAUGACGGUAGUAAACGAGGAAGCCACGGCUAACUACGUGCCAGCAGCCGCGGUAAUACGUAGGUGGCGAGCGUUGUCCGGAAUUAUUGGGCGUAAAGAGCAUGUAGGCGGCUUAAUAAGUCGAGCGUGAAAAUGCGGGGCUCAACCCCGUAUGGCGCUGGAAACUGUUAGGCUUGAGUGCAGGAGAGGAAAGGGGAAUUCCCAGUGUAGCGGUGAAAUGCGUAGAUAUUGGGAGGAACACCAGUGGCGAAGGCGCCUUUCUGGACUGUGUCUGACGCUGAGAUGCGAAAGCCAGGGUAGCGAACGGG